rnacentral:rRNA from 1 species
GAUGAACGCUGGCGGCGUGCCUAAUACAUGCAAGUCGAGCGAACAGACGAGGAGCUUGCUCCUCUGACGUUAGCGGCGGACGGGUGAGUAACACGUGGAUAACCUACCUAUAAGACUGGGAUAACUUCGGGAAACCGGAGCUAAUACCGGAUAAUAUCUUGAACCGCAUGGUUCAAUAGUGAAAGACGGUUUUGCUGUCACUUAUAGAUGGAUCCGCGCCGCAUUAGCUAGUUGGUAAGGUAACGGCUUACCAAGGCAACGAUGCGUAGCCGACCUGAGAGGGUGAUCGGCCACACGGGAACUGGGACACGGUCAAGACGCCUAAGGGAGGCAGCAGUAGGGAAUCUUCCGCAAUGGGCGAAAGCCUGACGGAGCAACGCCGCGUGAGUGAUGAAGGUCUUCGGAUCGUAAAACUCUGUUAUUAGGGAAGAACAAAUGUGUAAGUAACUAUGCACGUCUUGACGGUACCUAAUCAGAAAGCCACGGCUAACUACGUG